rnacentral:misc_RNA from 1 species
GUGGAGGUAAGCUUUCUUGAU